rnacentral:sRNA from 1 species
CACAAAGGACCCGGCUGGCUGCUUUUCUCAGCGCCGAAGCCGCGCCAUGUUCGUUCUCAGAAGCGGCCUGACCAGGGCGCUUGCCUCACGGACGCUCGCGCCUCAGAUAAUUUUGCUCAUCGAGCUGAAGUUCGGAAAGCCUUAGCCAACUGUAAGGAAUGGCAAGAACAAUCUAUCAUUCCAAAUUUGGCUCGCAUUGAUAAACAAGAGACGGAGAUUACUUACCUGAUACCAUGGUCCAAAUUAGAAAAGCCUCCAAAAGAAGGAGUCUAUGAACUAGCUGUUUUUCAGAUGAAACCUGGUGGGCCAGCUCUGUGGGGUGAUGCAUUUGAAAGAGCAAUUAAUGCCCAUGUCAAUUUAGGCUACACAAAAGUAGUUGGUGUUUUCCACACAGAAUAUGGAGAACUCAACAGAGGUUCACGGGGUACAUGUGAAGUUUUGUUACCUAGGUAAACCCAUGUCAUGGGGGUUUGUUGUACAGAUUAUUUAAUCACUCAGUUCAUGUUCUUUGGUGGAAUGAGAGUGCAGAUAGUCGUGCAGCUGGGAGACAUAAGUCCCAUGAGGAUCCCAGAGUUGUGGCGGCUGUUCGGGAAAGUGUCAACUACCUAGUGUCUCAGCAGAAUAUGCUUCUGAUUCCUGCAUCAUUUUCACCAUUGAAAUAGUUUUCUACUGAAAUACAAAACAUUUCAUUAACUGCUCUAAGAUAUGUCUGCUAAUGGUGCUUAAAUUCUCCCA